rnacentral:rRNA from 1 species
GACGAACGCUGGCGGCGUGCCUAAUACAUGCAAGUCGAGCGAACAUUUGAGAGCUUGCUCUCAAAUGUUAGCGGCGGACGGGUGAGUAACACGUGGGCAACCUGCCUAUAAGACUGGGAUAACUUCGGGAAACCGGAGCUAAUACCGGAUAAUUCACAUCUACUCAUGUAGAUGUGCUGAAAGAUGGUUUACGCUGUCACUUAUAGAUGGGCCCGCGGCGCAUUAGCUAGUUGGUGAGGUAACGGCUCACCAAGGCCACGAUGCGUAGCCGACCUGAGAGGGUGAUCGGCCACACUGGGACUGAGACACGGCCCAGACUCCUACGGGAGGCAGCAGUAGGGAAUCUUCCGCAAUGGACGAAAGUCUGACGGAGCAACG